UCUGUACUUCCAGCAGGGUCCUGACCAUACCACGUUCCCAGACUGCGUCCUCAGUGCUCUCCCUGGUCCCAGGCCUGAUUCCCAUGGAUGUCUGCAGCCUCCAGAGCUGCCCUGACUUGCUUGCAAAAGGUCUUUCUGCUGCUGCCUGUGCUGGAGGCAAUGCCUCCUGUGGGUGUCAGUGGGACUGGUCACGUUUCCGGUGUCAUGUGCUGUCCAUGACGGAUGGCAGAGCCAGUUUUUCUGCUCCAAAAGUGGGACUGGGGAGGAGACCGCAACACUCAAAUACCUGGAGCCCUGGUUGCUGCCAGCCAGCCAUUGAGGAGAUCACUUCUUUUUCAGCUCCAGGUCCUCUCUGUUCCAUAGGUGUGACUGUCUCGUGCCCCAGAGCUCUUUGGCUUUAGUGACAUGUCGACAAUCCUGAAAUGUGAGUGUUUGGUGUGGGCCCAGGGCACCUGCAAUGUUUGUGUGUGCUGGAUGCUCCACGCUGGCAAUGAACCUUCCUCUGUGCCCUGCUGCAGGGUUUGGACGGGAAGAUAAGGAGAGAGAGGAGGACAAAAAAGAGAAGGAAGAAAAGGAGAAGGAAAAGACUGAGGGAGAAAAGGAGAAGGAGAAGCAGAAGAGGAGGAAGAAGGAAGAAGAAAAGGUAGGGGAAUGAUGAAGUUUUCUGCAGAACCAUUUAUAUUCUGGCUGUAAAGGGAGGCCACAUCUGACUCAUGGCAAACCCACACCUGUAGUAGAUGGAGCUAUGCUGCUCACAGCCUAGAAAUCACAGUGUCCACGGCUUUUCCACGAAGAGACAGCUGUCUCUUUGCUCCCAACAUUCCUAGUUAGAUCUCCCUCCUUUUUCUCUCCAGAUGGGAUGCUGGUGUGGCAGUGAUGCUGCCUGCACUGCACACACCGUGCAAUCCUCGCCCUUGGCUCUGGAGACCUCUGUGGUGCCGUGGUCACAUGUGGCUCCACUGCAGCACCAGUGGUGCCACGCCUGGCUCUAGAUACCCACAGGACCAGGAGCCUUUCUGCCUCCUGACUCUGAACUGCCAGGGUUCCCAGGGCUUCCAGUGAUGCUUGUCCCUCUCUCUUCACCCCAGCAGGGCGAUGGGGAAGAGGACAGAAGCAGCAGCAGCUCUGACAGUGACUUGGAGGAGGUAACCUCACCCCAGCUCUGUGCUGGGGCCUGGCUCCCCCUUGCACCCCACCCCUGUGGGGUUUGCACUACAAACCCUAGCAUGGAUGCUACCAAAUACCUGGGAUGGGACACUCAGCACUCCCCUCACAUGCUGUGUCUUUUAUUUCUGUUCCAGGACCAAGGCAUUGCCAAGGAUGAUGAGAAGGAAGACAAGGAUUAGUAUUUCCGGGCUGGAGCAGUAGCACACACCCUGGGCACGCCAAGGAGGUGGAGAUGGAAAUAGCAGCUUGGGCUGGAGGGCAACUGGGCCACUCUUAGCCAAAUAAAGAUGUUGUGAUCUCCAAAGAGAACUGCUGUUCAUU
rnacentral:lncRNA from 1 species